UACGUAGGGUGCAAGCGUUAAUCGGAAUUACUGGGCGUAAAGCGUGCGCAGGCGGUUUUGUAAGUCUGUCGUGAAAUCCCCGGGCUCAACCUGGGAAUGGCGAUGGAGACUGCAAGGCUAGAGUUUGGCAGAGGGGGGUAGAAUUCCACGUGUAGCAGUGAAAUGCGUAGAUAUUCGGAGGAACACCGAUGGCGAAGGCAGCCCCCUGGGCCAACACUGACGCUCAGGCACGAAAGCGUGGGGAGCAAACAGG
rnacentral:rRNA from 1 species